UACGGGGGGGGCAAGCGUUGUUCGGAAUUACUGGGCGUAAAGGGCUCGUAGGCGGCCAACUAAGUCGGAUGUGAAAUCCCCAGGCUUAACCUGGGAACUGCAUCCGAUACUGGAUGGCUUGAAUUCGGGAGAGGGAUGCAGAAUUCCGGGUGUAGCGGUGGAAUGCGUAGAGAUCCGGAGAACACCGGUGGCGAAGGCGGCCUGCUGGGCAGUUGCUGACACUGAGGCGCGACAGCGUGGGGAGCAAACAGG
rnacentral:rRNA from 1 species